AAAAAAGCCUCGACUCAAACAGAACUACUUAGCAAUAGAAACUGCCAAGACUUCAUCUCGCAGACUCAAAAUUCUCAUUCUCUAAGGCGUAUAUUUGUUUGAAAUUUGUGGAUACAUUGUAGUGCUUGGUGACAUACUUUUUCUACUUUCAGUUUUUUGUAAUUUGAUAUUCUCUCAUGCUUUCUCUUUAUUUCUUAUGUGUAGAAUCUUUAAAAUAAGCUUCAAAAUUUUACUGGGCAACAUAGGAAUAAGCUCAAGAUUCUGUCGCCACAAGUUAAGAAACGUAGAGAUAUUCUAAGAGAGCUUCAGGUGCGUUCUUGGUUCAAUUUCGAACUUCGUCUCUGUUCUUCUUGCCUUUCUUCUGAUGUUUAAUUUGUGAAGAUUCAUCUGUCAUGGUUAUAUUAAAUUGGUGAAGGAUUGUUGUGAUAACUUAGCCCUAAUUGUUUUGGGAUCUAUUGGAGAUUGUACUUUUAUAAUUGUCUAUGGAAUUGCUCACCAGCUGUUCGACUAAUUUCCUGAAUGAAUAUUGGAGCCUUAGAAUUAGCAUCUUUCAUCCCCACUGCUAAAUAAACUCCAAGAACUUUUUUCAGUCAAUAGAUUUUGCAAUACGUGUUUUAAUUUUCAG
rnacentral:lncRNA from 1 species